AACGCUGAGGCGUGACGACGAGGCACUACGGUGCUGAAGUGAUAAAUGCCCAGCUUCCAGGAAAAGCCUCUAAGCAUCAGGUAACACAGAAUCGUACCCCAAACCGACACAGGUGGUCAGGUAGAGAAUACCAAGGCGCUUGAGAGAACUCGGGUGAAGGAACUAGGCAAAAUGGUGCCGUAACUUCGGGAGAAGGCACGCUGGCGCGUAGGUGGAGGGACCUGCUCCCCGAGCCGAAGCCAGUCGAAGAUACCAGCUGGCUGCAACUGUUUAUUAAAAACACAGCACUGUGCAAACACGAAAGUGGACGUAUACGGUGUGACGCCUGCCCGGUGCCGGAAGGUUAAUUGAUGGGGUUAUCCGCAAGGAGAAGCUCUUGAUCGAAGCCCCGGUAAACGGCGGCCGUAACUAUAACGGUCCUAAGGUAGCGAAAUUCCUUGUCGGGUAAGUUCCGACCUGCACGAAUGGCGUAAUGAUGGCCAGGCUGUCUCCACCCGAGACUCAGUGAAAUUGAACUCGCUGUGAAGAUGCAGUGUACCCGCGGCAAGACGGAAAGACCCCGUGAACCUUUACUACAGCUUGACACUGAACAUUGAGCCUUGAUGUGUAGGAUAGGUGGGAGGCUUUGAAGCGCGGACGCCAGUUCGCGUGGAGCCAACCUUGAAAUACCACCCUUUAAUGUUUGAUGUUCUAACGUAGGCCCGUGAUCCGGGCUGCGGACAGUGUCUGGUGGGUAGUUUGACUGGGGCGGUCUCCUCCUAAAGAGUAACGGAGGAGCACGAAGGUCAGCUAAUCACGGUCGGACAUCGUGAGGUUAGUGCAAUGGCAUAAGCUGGCUUGACUGCGAGAGUGACGGCUCGAGCAGGUGCGAAAGCAGGUCAUAGUGAUCCGGUGGUUCUGAAUGGAAGGGCCAUCGCUCAACGGAUAAAAGGUACUCCGGGGAUAACAGGCUGAUACCGCCCAAGAGUUCAUAUCGACGGCGGUGUUUGGCACCUCGAUGUCGGCUCAUCACAUCCUGGGGCUGAAGUAGGUCCCAAGGGUACGGCUGUUCGCCGUUUAAAGUGGUACGCGAGCUGGGUUUAGAACGUCGUGAGACAGUUCGGUCCCUAUCUGCCGUGGGCGCUGGAGAAUUGAGGGGGGUUGCUCCUAGUACGAGAGGACCGGAGUGAACGCACCACUGGUGUUCGGGUUGUCAUGCCAAUGGCAUUGCCCGGUAGCUAAGUGCGGAAAAGAUAAGUGCUGAAAGCAUCUAAGCACGAAACUUGCCCCGAGAUGAGUUCUCCCUGACUCCUUGAGAGUCCUGAAGGGACGUUGAAGACUACGACGUUGAUAGGCCGGGUGUGUAAGCGCAGCGAUGCGUUGAGCUAACCGGUACUAAUGACCCGUGAGGCUUAACCUUACAACGCCAGAGGCGUUU
rnacentral:rRNA from 1 species